rnacentral:rRNA from 1 species
AUUGAACGCUGGCGGCAGGCCUAACACAUGCAAGUCGAACGAGUGGCGGACGGGUGAGUAAUGUCUGGGAAACUGCCUGAUGGAGGGGGAUAACUACUGGAAACGGUAGCUAAUACCGCAUACCAUCAGAUGUGCCCAGAUGGGAUUAGCUUGUUGGUGGGGUAACGGCUCACCAAGGCAACGAUCCCUAGCUGGUUUGAGAGGAUGACCAGCCAGACUGGAACUGCUACACGGUCCAGCAUCCUACGAGAGGCAGGAGUGGGGAAUAGUGCGCAAUGGGGGAAACCUUGAUGCAGCCAUGCCGCGUGUAUGAAGAAGGCCUUCGGGUUGUAAAGUACUUUCAGCAGGGAGGCGUUACCUGCAGAAGAAGCACCGGCUAACUCCGUGCCAGCAGCCGCGGUAAUUC